AGUGAACGCUGGCGGUAGGCCUAACACAUGCAAGUCGAACGGCAACACAGUAAGAGCUUGCUCUUACGGGUGGCGAGUGGCGGACGGGUGAGGAAUACAUCGGAAUCUACUUUUUCGUGGGGGAUAACGUAGGGAAACUUACGCUAAUACCGCAUACGACCUACGGGUGAAAGCAGGGGAUCUUCGGACCUUGCGCGAUUGAAUGAGCCGAUGUCGGAUUAGCUAGUUGGCGGGGUAAAGGCCCACCAAGGCGACGAUCCGUAGCUGGUCUGAGAGGAUGAUCAGCCACACUGGAACUGAGACACGGUCCAGACUCCUACGGGAGGCAGCAGUGGGGAAUAUUGGACAAUGGGCGCAAGCCUGAUCCAGCCAUACCGCGUGGGUGAAGAAGGCCUUCGGGUUGUAAGGCCCUUUUGUUGGGAAAGAAAAGCAGCAGGUUAAUACCCCGCUGUUCUGACGGUACCCAAAGAAUAAGCACCGGCUAGCUUCGUG
rnacentral:rRNA from 1 species